rnacentral:rRNA from 1 species
ACUAAACCUAGCCUAACCUAUAUUUCCACAAUACAACUAUAACAAAAAAGUAGAAUAAAACAUUUACCUCUAAAAAGUAUAGGAGAUAGAAAUUUAUUUAAGCGCUAUAGAGAUAGUACCGCAAGGGAAAGAUGAAAGAAACAAAAAAAGUAAAUAAAAGCAUAGAUUACACCUAGUACCUUUUGCAUAAUGAGUUAACUAGAAUUACUUGACAAAAAGAAUUUAAGCCAAACUUCCCGAAACCAAACGAGCUACUUUUGAGCAGCUAAUAUGAGCAAACUCGUCUAUGUCGCAAAAUAGUGAGAAGACUCCAAAGUAGAGGUGAAAAGCCAACCGAGCUUGGUGAUAGCUGGUUAUCCAAAUAAGAAUUUUAGUUCAACUUUAAGCUUUCCUAAAAAACACUAAAAUUUAAAUGAAAGCUUAUAUGUUAACUUAAGGGGGGACAGCUCCUUAAAUAAGGAUACAUCCUUAAGCAGAGGGUAAAAAAUAUAACUACCAUAGUAGGCCUAAAAGCAGCCAUCAAUUAAGAAAGCGUUCAAGCUCAACAAACUACUCUUAAAUUAUUCCUAACAAUACAAUGACCCCCUGCAUUUACAAUUGGAUUAAUCUAUAAAAAUAUAGAAGAAACAAUGUUAACAUCAGUAACUAGAACCACUUCUCCCUGCACAAGCCUACGUUAAAUAAACCUAACCAAUUAACAACCAUAUAAUACACCCACAUAACUAGUUAAUUAUUACAAAAAUUGUUAACCCAACUCAGGAGUGCAAUUAAGGGAAAGACUAAAAUAAGUAAAAGGAACUCGGCAAACACAAACCCCGCCUGUUUACCAAAAACAUCACCUCUAGCAUCACAAGUAUUAGAGGCACUGCCUGCCCAGUGACAAUUAAAGUUUAACGGCCGCGGUAUCCUGACCGUGCAAAGGUAGCAUAAUCACUUGUUCUUUAAAUAAGGACUAGUAUGAAAGGCUUGACGAGGGUUUAACUGUCUCUUACUUACAGUCAGUGAAAUUGACCUUCCCGUGAAGAGGCGGGAAUAAAACAAUAAGACGAGAAGACCCUAUGGAGCUUUAAUUCACUAACUCAUUUUUACCGAACUUAAUCUACAAGAGACAAAAAACAAAUUAUGAGUUAACAAUUUUGGUUGGGGUGACCUCGGAGUAAAACCAACCCUCCGAAUGAUAUUAACCAAGACUUACAAGUCAAAGUUCCUAUCAUAAAUUGACCCAGAGCAAUCUGAUCAACGAACCAAGUUACCCUAGGGAUAACAGCGCAAUCCUAUUUAAGAGUCCAUAUCGACAAUAGGGUUUACGACCUCGAUGUUGGAUCAGGACACCCCAAUGGUGCAACCGCUAUUAAAGGUUCGUUUGUUCAACGAUUAAAGUCCUACGUGAUCUGAGUUCAGACCGGAGUAAUCCAGGUCGGUUUCUAUCUAUUAACAAAUUUCUCCCAGUACGAAAGGACAAGAGAAAUAAGGCCAAUAAACCUAUCAUGCCUUAGUAGUAAAAGAAUGAUAUUAUAUUAAAUCUUAAACUAUUAACAAACUAACCCAAGACAAGGGUUU